AACCAACCCAGUAACAGGGGGAUAACCCGGAGAAAUCCGGACUAAUACCGCAUAAGACCACGAUAUCGCAGUGAUAUAGAGGUCAAAUAUUUAUAGGUUAUGGACGGGCAUGCGUCUGAUUAGCUGGUUGGCGGGUAACGCCACCAAGGCAUCGAUCAGUAGGGGUCUGAGAGGAAGGUCCCCCACAUUGGAACUGAGACACGGUCCAAACUCCUACGGGAGGCAGCAGUGAGGAAUAUUGGUCAAUGGGCGAAAGCCUGAACCAGCCAUGUCGCGUGAAAGGAUGAAGGUCCUAUGGAUUGUAAACUUCUUUUGCAGGAGGGUAAAGUGAGCUACGUGUAGUUCAUUGCAAGUACCCUGCGAAUAAGCAUCGGCUAACUCCGUGCCAGCCGCCGC
rnacentral:rRNA from 1 species